rnacentral:rRNA from 1 species
UACGUAGGGUGCGAGCGUUACUCGGAAUUACUGGGCGUAAAGCGUGCGCAGGCGGUUCGUUAAGUUCGAUGUGAAAGCCCCGGGCUCAACCUGGGAAUUGCAUUGGAAACUGGCGGGCUUGAGUGUGGCAGAGGGGGGUGGAAUUCCACGUGUAGCAGUGAAAUGCGUAGAGAUGUGGAGGAACACCGAUGGCGAAGGCAGCCCCCUGGGCUAACACUGACGCUCAGGCACGAAAGCGUGGGGAGCAAACAGG